ensembl:lncRNA
AUCAUAUAUUUGUGUGUGUGUGUGUGUGUGUGUCUUACAGGUAAAAAACAUGCUCCCAAAGGUUGACAGGGAAAGGGUGGCCAACUUCAUGUGCCACAACAUCCAGACGGCAGACAAAUAUUAUGCCAUGAAUUUAAAUCCAACCCAAGCAAAUGAAACCAGGGCACUCUUUGAGGCUGCACUGAAGGGGGAAGAUAACACAGUCGCCGCAGAGAACCAGCCCUCCACCUCAGGAGAAAGAAAGCAGAAGGUGAGAGAGGAUGCCUCCCUCUCCGACGGGAGCACCACCCCUGAAGAGACCAAGGUGAUGUACCAGGAGUCUGGCACGUCCGCCGGUGACUCGGAAGAGGAGGAAGAGGAUGAAGAUGAGGAACAGAUGGCCAGACAACUUCCAGAGACACCUUCCAAGGUGACCAAUCCUCAGGUGGAGAUGGAACUUACCCCAAAGAGGAAGCGGAGCAUCUGCACACGCCGCAUGGAGGUCGCCAUCAGCCCCAUGCUAGUCUCACCGCUCAAAGUGAGGCUCAAGUCGCCCCCCCACCAGUCCCUCAUUGUCACAUUAAAAGGGAUGCAACAACUAAACUCAAAUAAAGUAAGACUAAAAAAUGCCAUUGCCUCAAGGAGGUUAAAGCUGCAGGAGAAGGUGCAAAAGAGAGGAGGGGACCCCUGAUGCAGCUCGAAGGAAGGGGAGCCGACCAACAACAAGACUUCCUCUUCCAAAUAGUCAUGUAGAUUGUUUUAGACUCUCACAUUUAUACUGUUCUGAUUUUGUUUGGUUUGAUUUUCAAUUUUGGUGUGCUUGUUUACAUUUUAGAAGUGUAAAAUGUGUGUAAUUUAGUCUAACUGUCUGUUCAAUUUUCUAUUUUGGUGUGAUUCUUUAUAAUGUAAAGGUUUGUUCUGUUUUAUUAAAUAACUAGUUUAGUAAUUAUUUGUGUUGUGCUUUCUUUAAGGUUAUAUUCUAACUGUCUGUUCAAUUUUCUAUUUUGGUGUGAUUCUUUAUAAUGUAAAGGUUUGUUCUGUUUUAUUAAAUAACUAGUUGAGUAAUUCUUUGUGUUGUGCUUUCUUUAAGGUUUAUAUUUAGUUUGUCACUUAAUUUGUAAGUGUUAAACAUUCACUGUCUUGUGUUGUUGUCUGUGAAGGUAGGAACAAAUAUUUAGGCAUUAUUGGCAUGGGAAUCAUAUGUUUACAUUGGCAAAGCAAAUUAAGUAGAUAAUAAACAAAAGUGAAAUAAACAAUAAAGUCCUGCUGUAGACUGUACUACUGCUGUUCAGGAAGCACAAUUUGAACUAGAAACUUACACAGACAGGCUGAAAUAAACACUAAAAAAUAACAAAUGGCAUCACCGUAAUCUCUAGGCCAUGCCGAGUUCAACGAGAUAUCCCGCUUGACCGUAGCUCGCUCGGUCUGAGCGCAGCGACCAUGAGAAAAGUAAGCCCAAAAUGAAGCCUGCCCCACAACGUCAUUUGCUUUUGGGUGACAGUGAGAGAACCGUUAGGUUUAGAAGGACAAUUCAACCACAGGAAUGUUCCUAACGUCCUUCCAAUCCAUGCAAGCCUUACCUUGACCGUGUGGCAUUAACCCUUAAAAAUAAAACAGGGUUUUUUGAUCUCACAGAUUACAAUGACAUCUCUCCCCAUAGGAAUACAUUGACAGCUCCCCUAAAUUCAACCUGGAGCCUAUGUGGGUUAAUAAUGCCUUAUGAACCUGUCUUCAAUGCCAAUCCAUCAGGCCACUAUGAGGUCUACCUGUGUCGAUUCUAAGCUUCCUGGAGCAACCGGAAGUGGUUAAAUUCACCCAAAAUGUAUUUUGAUGUACAUAACCUGCAAAUGUGAAAAUGACUGCAUUCAACCCUGGGUAGAUCAGUCAAUUCUUAACAUAAAGACUUUAAACUCAGGAUUCUGUAAGAGAAUACCCAAAGCAAAAUAUUUGUUUACCUAUAGCUUCCUGUGCCAACCGGAAGUGCCUUUAAUUGGUGUCUCAGGGGCUUCUCCUUAGGAGGGAUGGGGACACCACCACGGGACAGACCCCACACUCAUCGCUAGAGAUCGAACUUCAGACUCCCUUCAAAACCACUGAACCCCUCAACACACCGAAAGAGAUUACGGUGCACACCCUUAGAGGGAGCCGGAACAGGAUAACUCCCUCCACCAUCACAGAGACACAGAGGAGGAGGAACUAUCCAACACCCAGGGAGAGAGAACAAGUGACGUCAGUCGAACACAGUCAGAAAGAGGAGGUGGAAGAGGCGUUAGAUAGAGGAGGAUAUUACCCCAGAGGCCAUUCCUCCUGUUCAUGUGAGCAAGAAAGAGCAGAAGGCUUCUGAUCAGCCAAAUGGCAGGCAGAGGGAGAGGUCAUAGUGAUUCACACCCACAGAGAGAAAGACAACCCACACAACCUCUUGGUUGAGAUGAACCACACAGGUAGAGGCAGAGGGCCUUCAAGGCUAGCCAGUCAGCCUGCCUGCUCUGAUCCUCAAGUCAAUUGUAUAUAAAUUCAUGUUCAUUAAAGAUUUUUAUUCAAGAAUUGACAAGUCCCAUUUCGUUAAAGGGGUCACCCUUUUCCUGCUACAAACACAACUUGCAUAUCAUCACAGACUAGGCCAAAACGUUAAUCUUUUAACCUUGCCUGAAUAAAACAAUGCAUUUUUUAUAGU